GGGCAUGUAACUCAUUGGUAGAAUGCAUGCUCAGCAUGCAUGAAGCCCUGGGUUCAAGCUCCAGCAUCACCA
rnacentral:tRNA from 2 species